AGGAUGAAUUUGAAUCCAGAAUUUUUAUCAUCUGAGUAAUCAUACAAGUAUCUGUAUACCAGUUUCUGCCUGUAUUUUUAAAAACAUUUUUUUAGAAAACCAAAAAUAUUCUGAGCAGGGGAUUUAAUUGUUUUUUUGAAGGAACAAGAUAUUUGAAGAUAGGUGCUGUUUCAGUAUGCACAGCUCUUUUUGCUUUGUACUUUAUUAGAAACCUGAAGGUGACAGGCAUCCCCAUUUAUUCUGUGGGAAUCUAAGUUGGCUGAUUUUUUUUAUUUUUUUUUAUUAUUAUUUUGGUUAUGAUGUAUCAUUGAUAGGAAAGUUCGGACUGGGCGACUUUUCAGUGAGACAAUUUAAGCAGAUGAUAUCUGAGGAUCUUGUCCAAAGCUCUGUGACUUGUCACAAAAAUAGUUCUAACUUCUAGUAUCUUCUAACUUUGGGCAUCACUGCAGUUAAAUGGAGGAAGCAAACGCAGAAGGCUUUCAGGAGUUUACAGGGACUAUAUAAAUAUCGAAUGCAUAAAUAUCGCUAAUGGUAAUGAGCCUAUAUGACAUUAAUUCUGCACCCAAUUAGCUGUUCUGGGGAGACUAAAGUCCAGUUAGAAUUAGGGGAACAAAAUGGGAAAGAGUAAAUAGACAUGUAGGAUGUGCAUGGAAAUGCUAAAUUUAUUAAAAUGGUGGAAAAACAGCAUUGAGGAAGACUUAGAAUAGCAGCAGUACUUCUGGUAUCUAAGCUUAUAUUCAUGCUUCUUACUGGAAUUCACUCAUUCAAGUGAUUAAAACUCUGUAAGAGCUAUAAUGGCUACUUCACACAUAGAUAUAACACUGUGGAAAACACCAAGGUAAGUUUCAGCCCUUAAUAGAAGAAUUUGAUCUUUAUAUCUGUAUAAGAAUAUGAACAGCAAUGGAAAACAUGUUAGAAAUGCUUCUAAAUAAGUGAAUGUUUGUUUCAUUUAAUAGUGCUAUUGCGACUGGAUGCAACCUGAAACUUCUAUAACAAAUCAUGUAAAAUCUGAGAUGGCUGAAGAGCAAGAAUUAAGAUGGAAUUUCCUGGUUUUGUCCAGAAGAAAUAUGCAAGUGAAGAACCAAAUGAGAUUACUGAUCAAUAGAUUCUAUGUAUGA
rnacentral:lncRNA from 1 species